CGAUAUUUAAAGAAACCACGGUUGGAGGACGUAACAAGUGAGGAUUUGGCUAACUAACGUUAGCUAGCUAGCUUAAAGCUAACACAGCAGCAGAGGGAACUGUCCAACCGAACUGUCUGAUUUGACAGCCACCGUCACGCCCGCUACAACUCGGCUUUACCGCCAGCAUAUCAGUGUCACAUACCUAAUUAUCUGUUCUGGAUUACAUUAACGUCAUAUCUCCCUUUUCAACUCCACACACCACCGCGCCUGCACCUUGAUACAUGCUGGCAACGUCUCCACCACAAGCCACCCAUGUCUUUGGCUCCUGACACAAGUCUGUCAUCGUGGACAUCCAGGCAGUUGACGGUGCCAGUGUGACCGUACAGCAUCAUCAAACACUUGGCAUUCUUCAAACUCCAACAUCUACAGGUGUGAUGAAACAACAACAACAACAAAAAACACCCACCCUAUCAAAUCUGCGUCAGUCACAAGGAGGAAUUUAUCCUCAUCAGUAUCCAGCUCCCAUCUCCCCCUCACCUGAUACUCGCAUCGCUGCUCGCCGUUAUCAGCAGGUCUCUGUCCUCGCAUAGCAGCACUGCCCGGAUGCCGCCAACAUGGCCCUUCAUCACUAACACGACUUUUGUUUCCGACUCCACAUAAAGCAGACGCACCACGCGGUCCUUGGAGCCCAUCGCCAUAAACGAUCCACCUCUGUAGUCCAUUACCCGCUGUGGGUCCACUCUGUCGAACCGAACAACAACCUAAUUACAUCAGUAAUGUUUUUAUUCCAAUGUGCGGAAUAAAAAAGGAUGAAUAUCCCCCGUUUCAUCAUCCUUGACGGGUACCGGGACUUCAACGAUGUUGGCAUCAACUGGUAGGCAGCCUAUGAAGUCUAGGUACCGGCUGACUCCAGACACGGACUUUGAGGAUCCAGGCACCACCAUAAGAGCGGGGUCAUCAUCGCUGACCCGAUAAUGCCGACUGGUCCUGCGACUACUCGCUGGAAAGGAGCAAAAGUUUAUCAUAAGGCAAGAAGUAUUAAUAAUCGAAACUAGCAAUGCAAAGUUUGUGUGUCUCAAAGCAAACAUCUUUUAUUAAAUAAAGCUCUAAAAGAAGUACACAUCAACAUUUCACACUGUAUAUAGCCAACCAAUCUGUAUUUUUUUCAAGUUCCUGGAUAUUAAAAACGUAUUUAAUUUUUCCAAUGUUGAACCAGAAUGUUUAAUG